rnacentral:tRNA from 1 species
GGGGAUUUAGCUCAGUGGUAGAGCGCUUGCCUAGCAAACGCAAGGCCCUGGGUUCGAUUCCCAGUUCCUCCC